CUUUAGACGGUAGGGUAUUGGCCUACCGUGGCUAUGACGGGUAACGGGGAAUUAGGGUUCGAUUCCGGAGAGGGAGCCUGAGAAACGGCUACCACAUCUAAGGAAGGCAGCAGGCGCGCAAAUUACCCAAUCCUAAUACAGGGAGGUAGUGACAAGAAAUAACAAUACAGAGCCUUACGGUUUUGUAAUUGGAAUGAGUUAAGUAUAAACCCCUUAACAAGUAUCAAUUGGAGGGCAAGUCUGGUGCCAGCAGCCGCGGUAAUUCCAGCUCCAAUAGCGUAUAUUAAAGUUGUUGCAGUUAAAAAGCUCG
rnacentral:rRNA from 1 species